UAAGCCAUGCAUGUGUAAGUACACACUCUAGUACAGUGAAACUGCGAAUGGCUCAUUAAAUCAGUCUUGGUUUAUUUGAGAAUGAACUUACUUGGAUAACUCUGGUAAUUCUAGAGCUAAUACACGCAAGAUGCGGCGACUUCACGGAAACCGCAGCUUUUGUCAGUACCAAGGCCAAUACGGCACUCGUGGCCGUUUCCCUGGUGAAUCUAGACAACAAGUGGAUCGCAUGGCCCUCGCGCCGGCGACGCAUCUUUCAAGUGUCUGCCCUAUCAACUUUCGAUGGUAGGGUAUUGGCCUACCAUGGUUGUAACGGGUAACGGGGAAUUAGGGUUCGAUUCCGGAGAGGGAGCCUGAGAAACGGCUACCACAUCCAAGGAAGGCAGCAGGCGCGCAAAUUACCCACUCCCGACUCGGGGAGGUAGUGACGAAAAAUAACGAUGCAGGGCCCAUUGGGUCUUGCAAUUGGAAUGAGUACACUUUAAAUCCUUUAACGAGGACCAAUUGGAGGGCAAGUCUGGUGCCAGCAGCCGCGGUAAUUCCAGCUCCAAUAGCGUAUAUUAAAGUUGCUGCAUUUAAAAAGCUCGUAGUUGGAUCUCAGGCCCCGGAACGCGGUUCCCUUCUUGGGUAUACUGCGGUCCGGGCCUUCAAGACUCUGCGGUUUACGGCGGUGCACUUUAUUGUGUGUCGUCGUGCCCCGCAACUUUUACCUUGAAUAAAUUAGAGUGCUCAAAGCAGGCAAGUCGCCGGGAUAGUUCAGCAUGGAAUAAUGGAAUAGGACCUCGGUCCGGUUUCGUUGGUCUUAUGGACUGAGGUAAUGAUUAACAGGAACAGACGGGGGCAUUCGUACUGCGGCGCUAGAGGUGAAAUUCUUGGAUCGCCGCAUGACGAACUAGUGCGAAAGCAUUUGCCAAGAAUGUUUCCAUUAAUCAAGAACGAAAGUCAGAGGGUCGAAGGCGAUCAGAUACCGCCGUAGUUCUGACCAUAAACGAUGCCGACCGGCAAUCUGCAGACGAGUCAUUUUUCCCUGCAGGCAGCCUUGGGGAAACCAGAGUUUUCAGGUUAUGGGGGAAGUAUGGUUGCAAAACUGAAACUUAAAGGAAUUGACGGAAGGGCACCACCAGGAGUGGAGCCUGCGGCUUAAUUUGACUCAACACGGGAAAACUCACCCGGCCCGGACACAGUGAGGAUUGACAGAUCGAGAGCUCUUUCUUGAUUCUGUGGGUGGUGGUGCAUGGCCGUUCUUAGUUGGUGGAGUGAUUUGUCUGGUUAAUUCCGAUAACGAACGAGACUCCAGCCUGCUAAAUAGGCGACGUGCCCUCUGUGGCACGUCUGUCUUCUUAGAGGGACAAUCGGCGUAUAGCCGGAUGAGAUGGAGCAAUAACAGGUCUGUGAUGCCCUUAGAUGUUCGGGGCCGCACGCGCGCUACACUGAAAGAGUCAACGUGUGCCCACCCCUACUCCGAGAGGAGCGGGUAACCCUGUGAGCCCCUUUCGUGAUGGGGAUAGGAGAUUGCAAUUGUUCUCCUUGAACGAGGAAUUCCCAGUAAGCGCAAGUCAUAAGCUUGCGUUGAUUACGUCCCUGCCCUUUGUACACACCGCCCGUCGCUACUACCGAUUGAAUGAUUUAGUGAGACCCUCGGAUUGGGGCCUGUCGGCUGCUUCGGUGGUCGUAAGUGCU
rnacentral:rRNA from 1 species